rnacentral:rRNA from 1 species
GAUGAACGCUGGCGGCGUGCCUAAUACAUGCAAGUCGAGCGAACAGACGAGGAGCUUGCUCCCCUGACGUUAGCGGCGGACGGGUGAGUAACACGUGGAUAACCUACCUAUAAGACUGGGAUAACUUCGGGAAACCGGAGCUAAUACCGGAUAAUAUAUUGAACCGCAUGGUUCAAUAGUGAAAGACGGUUUUGCUGUCACUUAUAGAUGGAUCCGCGCCGCAUUAGCUAGUUGGUAAGGUAACGGCUUACCAAGGCAACGAUGCGUAGCCGACCUGAGAGGGUGUUCGGCCACACUGGAACUGAGACACGGUCCAGACUCCUACGGGAGGCAGCAGUAGGGAAUCUUCCGCAAUGGGCGAAAGCCUGACGGAGCAACGCCGCGUGAGUGAUGAAGGUCUUCGGAUCGUAAAACUCUGUUAUUAGGGAAGAACAAAUGUGUAAGUAACUAUGCACGUCUUGACGGUACCUAAUCAGAAAGCCACGGCUAACUACGUG